rnacentral:misc_RNA from 1 species
UUUCUCCUGGACUCUGAAAUCCUCCUCCCCAAGAUUUGUCCCCGCGCUAUUAAGAGUGUUGUCAUUCUUGAAGGAGAUGGAGGACCUGGCACCAUCAAGCAAAUUAACUUCAAUCAUGGUAGCGAAUUAAGUCAUGUGAAGGAAAGGAUUGAUGCCAUAGACAAGGAGAAUUUGACAUAUGACUACUCUGUGAUUGGAGGUGAUCCUGCCCUUCUGAAUAAGGCACUUGAUAAAAUCUCUUUUCAGAUUAAGGUUGAAAGCUCCCCUGAUGGAGGAUCCAUCUUCAAGCGCAGCAGCAAGAGUUACACUAUUGAUGGUGCUGAGGUGAAUGAAGAGGAAAUUAAGGCUGGAC